CGAGUUUGAUCAUGGCUCAGGAUGAACGCUAGCUGGAGGCUUAAUACAUGCAAGUCGAGCGGGAUUGGUAGCAAUACCAUGAGAGCGGCGCACGGGUGAGUAACGCGUACACGACCUACCUCUGACAGGGGGAUAGCCCUGGGAAACUGGGAUUAAUACCGCAUAUUAUUCUGAUUAAUAAAGGAUUGGAAUGAAAGCUGAGGCGGUCAGAGAUGGGUGUGCGUCUGAUUAGCUAGUUGGUAGGGUAACGGCCUACCAAGGCGAUGAUCAGUAGGGGGCGUGAGAGCGUGGUCCCCCACACGGGUACUGAGACACGGACCCGACUCCUACGGGAGGCAGCAGUAAGGAAUAUUGGUCAAUGGGCGAAAGCCUGAACCAGCCAUCCAGCGUGCAGGAAGAAGGCCCUAUGGGUUGUAAACUGCUUUUAUCAGGGAAGAAACCUCUGGAUUUACUCCGGAGCUGACGGUACCUGAAGAAUAAGCACCGGCUAACUCCGUG
rnacentral:rRNA from 1 species